rnacentral:rRNA from 1 species
AUUGAACGCUGGCGGCAGGCUUAACACAUGCAAGUCGAGCGGAGCGAGGGUGCUUGCACCUUAGCUUAGCGGCGGACGGGUGAGUAAUGCUUAGGAAUCUGCCUAUUAGUGGGGGACAACAUUCCGAAAGGAAUGCUAAUACCGCAUACGCCCUACGAGGGAAAGCAGGGGAUCUUCGGACCUUGCGCUAAUAGAUGAGCCUAAGUCGGAUUAGCUAGUUGGUGGGGUAAAGGCCUACCAAGGCGACGAUCUGUAGCGGGUCUGAGAGGAUGAUCCGCCACACUGGGACUGAGACACGGCCCAGACUCCUACGGGAGGCAGCAGCGGGGAAUAUUGGACAAUGGGCGGAAGCCUGAUCCAGCCAUGCCGCGUGUGUGAAGAAGGCCUUUUGGUUGUAAAGCACUUUAAGCGAGGAGGAGGCUACUUAGAUUAAUACUCUGGGAUAGUGGACGUUACUCGCAGAAUAAGCACCGGCCAACUCUGUGCCAGCCGCCGCAGUAAGAC